rnacentral:rRNA from 1 species
CCUACGGGUGGCAGCAGUCGAGAAUCAUUCACAAUGGGGGAAACCCUGAUGGUGCGACGCCGCGUGGGGGAAUGAAGUUCUUCGGAUUGUAAACCCCUGUCAUGUGGGAGCAAAUUAAAAAGAUAGUACCACAAGAGGAAGAGACGGCUAACUCUGUGCCAGCAGCCGCGGUAAUACAGAGGUCUCAAGCGUUGUUCGGAAUCACUGGGCGUAAAGCGUGCGUAGGCUGUUUCGUAAGUCGUGUGUGAAAGGCGCGGGCUCAACCCGCGGACGGCACAUGAUACUGCGAGACUAGAGUAAGGGAGGGGGAACCGGAAUUCUCGGGGUAGCAGUGAAAUGCGUAGAUAUCGAGAGGAACACUCGUGGCGAAGGCGGGUUCCUGGACAGUAACUGACGCUGAGGCACGAAGGCCAGGGGAGCGAAAGGGAUUAGAUACCCGGGUAGUC